rnacentral:RNase_P_RNA from 1 species
UCGGAUAGCUGCGCUGCGGAAGGUAAAAUCCGUUAGUGAGGAAAGUCCGGGCUUCAAGGGAACAGGACACCAGAUAACGUCUGGCUGGAGCGAUCCAAGUGCUAGUGCCACAGAAAGUUACCGCCAUGGGGCUUUAGCCGUGUGGUAAGGUUGAAAAGGUGGGGUAAGAGCCCACCGCGGCGGAAGCAAUUUCGCUGGCGGAGGUAAACCAUGUCCGAAGCAAGACCAAGUUAGGAGGGCUUUUUUUUAUAAAAAAGAGUUGCACGGAGAGUUCCCUCUCUACUCCAGAGGUAGGUCGCGCCGAACUGUUUAGCGAUAAACAGUCAAGAUGAAUAGCUAUCGCCGGUUUUACCGGUACAGAACCCGGCUUAUAGAUUACCU